GAUUUCCCCUCACAGGAAUACUGCCACAGUAGAGAAGUGGCACAUUUGUGUAUGAUCUGCUGUAGCACACCAAACUUAUAACCACACACUCCUGUAGGUAAGGACUUCUAAUGAACCAACAGGCUUCAUUAAGAUUCAAAGGUCUGAAGCAUUUAGAAGUACGUCUGGAUGGAAGCAUAAUACAGGAAGUAAACCACAUCUAAACUAGAUAGAUACUUGCUUUGACUUAUUCCAGCAGAUUUUAAAGAAUCAGAAUAAAUUAUAGUUGUUAAUACAAAUCUGAGAAGAUCCAUUCCUGCAACAUGAAACACACAUUUUCCCUCUGUAUCUCAGUGUUAUACUACAAUUGGGUUGCAAAACCAAGCUGAAAGUUUGGCAGGGGAGAAAAUAGGGCCUACUUUCAUCACUGUGGUUUUGCAGAGAUGUUGGCUGGGACAGCUUCUUCUCGUUGUAACUAGAACUGAGGGAGUCAAUAUAUCUGGCCCUAAGCAAUACAAAUAUACAGAAUGUCAGUGAUCCUUGAGUCUGCUUUUUUAAAGCAGCAUGCCUGAGCACUUUUCAGCAGAGUGGUUUCAUAGAUGGUGCAGAUCAGUUGCAGACAAAGUACUUCUUGUUGCCAUUUAUGGUUUUUAUCUGUCAUAAAUAUGUCACAGAAGUAACUCCUGAUUUCAGAACUUUCAUUCUUUGGAUUGGUGGUGACCACAUUAAAAAACAUUUUGUAUUCACUAGCUUCCACUUGGUGUUUUUUAACAUUUUCAUGUCCUAGUGCUGAAUACAAGCACGUAUUCAGUGCUCUUGAAGUUCAUUUUGGGAAUCCUCUAGCUCCUGAAGAGUGUUAUAUCUUGCUUCCUUCUGUCCACAGUAAAUACAGUUGAGGAUCGGGAGAGCCCUUUGCAGUGUGUGCUACUUCUUGCUACAGCUCAUAACAUUUGGAGUCUGAUAGAGAUGCUGUGAUAGCACCUUCAAUUAAAAGCCACAAGCCACAUAACAAAGAGAAUCCUUAAGACUGCUUAGCAUUAGGCCAUUGCCUUGACUAGAAUUACCAGAACAAGAAUAAAUUUGCUAUGUUAGUUUAAUUGUGAUCUGUUGCCCAUGAGACCUUAGACCUGGCAGAAAGCUUUAGGUAAAAUAUCAAGGGGCUUUUUCUGAGAUUGCUUUAAUAUUAUAUGUCUGUUAGAAAACACUAACACAAUUCUAUUCCAGUUUAAAAGCCUUAAGCUUUUGCUACCUGUUUUGGGCUUUCAUUACUUUUACAUGUAUACAGUUACACAGAUAAUGAGGAACUCGCAAAAUCUGCAUAUCACUGCAUGUAACAUCGCUCUGCAACUAUUUACCACCUCAUUAGUUUUUUCAAUAGCAGAGAUAAGUUAGCAUGCUGUCAUGAAAUCUGAACUGCUGUCACAUCCAGAUGAAGCUUAUAAACCACGGCAUAAUAACUUUCACAAAGUGCAUUAAAUCUUGCACCAGAAGAUGCAAUCUUGCAAACGCAAGAAAAAAAAAGAUGUAUUACUUUUUCUAUAUGUGAAGCAAAUUUGUAUGGUAUUUUCUCCUGUAAAUUUGCUGCUCUUGGAAAUCUUUUAAAACACAAAAGGAGAAAUUUAGGUUUUGUAUUAUUCUGCACAACUCAAAUCGACUGAGCUAGAUGAUCUCAUUUACAUUUGGACUGUGCUGUACACACCUAACUUUUUAAGAACGCAUGUUUUCUCAUUUUUGUUAAAGGUUCUGUCCUCACUAAAAAAUAAAAAAUAAAAAAAAAGAGGUUUGUUUUACAUCAAGAUUACUAUGGCGAGGUAUCUGUCUAAGUGUAAAAUCCUUGUGGAGACAAGCAGCAGGUAUUAGAUACCUUGAUGUAGCUGGUUGAGGUCAGCCCUAACAAUACAUCUGGGGUUCAUCUCAGCUGGCUAUGUACAGGUGAAACUACAAUAUCUUAUCAUUAGCAGGAUUUUAUACUGCACUACCGACUUCCGUGUAAAAUCAUGUUACACUGCCUUGCAAUGUAAAGAUGCCUUUGAGGAUAUGAAUUACAUGUGUACUUAUUCUAGGUCCUUUGACACUUCUAAAGUGAUGCAAAGUGAAUCUCUGCCCUACUGGCUGGCAAAACCAUACGAUUUGGUCCCAUAACUGAAUUAAAGUCCUUGCUAGGCUUUCACAUAUAUCCCUGGUGAUACUAGCAGUGAUACCCAUAAUAGUUCCUGCCAGGCUUGCGUUACUCUCUGGUAUAGUUCCAAUGCAUUUUCAUACCUUCUUCAAUGUUGGUGCUUCUGUUUUGCAAACUAUGCGUGAUAGCAUCAAAGACUGCAGCUGCAUACAGUGGUUAUAGCUGUCAUCCCCCCAAAGUGGAGUAAUAUGAAGCAUUAAAAAUCAAACACUAAUUCAACACAGGCCAUGAAGUCAUGGUAGUGAUAGUACAGAUGUGCCUAUAUUCAACUUUUGCUUCAGUAAACCACAGCAUUGUGGAGAAAACAUGAUCAAAAUAAAACAUUUAAUUCACACUCUACUCCAUGUUGACAAUAAAAGAGACAAAUAGGAACAAAUACCACUUACUUUGCAAGCAAGGUGAGCAGUCCUGAGCAUGACUUGCUUUCUUCAUUUUCUUUUUGUGCUGUAAUUUGAGUCUGCCCACUCUUGAGAACACACUUUUCAGUGUAUGUGAGCCACCUUGAUUAAAGCAUCUCCUGGAAUUAUCCAUUGGUGUGUCAACUGAAGGGUUACCAUUCCUUUAAAGCCACAUUUAAGAUGUACUGUUUAUUUUAGGUAAGCAAUCUGGGUAAAUGGUUGUUUUAUACUUCUUGAAAUGUUCCUCAUAUCCUGCAGAGAUGCUUCACCCAUCUAAGAAUCCCAUCAUUUUCAAUAUUCUUUUUGUUUCUUCUUAUUUUCCCCUACAAACUUACCUGCAAGACCACAUAUUUGAUUCAGUCAGUAGUUACUCAGUGGGAGACAUUUCCCGUUCACAUGUGAUACCUCCUGGCUGCUGCUUCCAAUUAUGCCAUAUGCUGGAAAGCGGAGCUGUUGAAGUAUUGGAGUUAAUGUUACAAACUAGUUAAGAGGGUAGCAGUGUGUCUCAUGAAGGGUUCUGGACAAUGUCUGAUUUCUGCCAUAAGCAAAACCUGACAAAUCCUGCUUUGUUUUGCUGCUUUUUCAGGUGGUAAAGAGCUAGAAAUACAUUCAUUAUAUUGUGAAAUCACAACCUUCGAGAUUUUGCUGAAUCUGCCCUACAGCUAUUUAUCACAUGAUUGCAGGGAAUGAAAAUAACAUUUUUCCUUCUACUUGGAAUAUGCUGCUAACCUUGAGGCAAGAUAGUGCAUAAUUUUAUGUGUGCCUAGUCUUGCUGUUAUAUAUAGACUGUUUGGGGAUGAAACAGUGUUAUCAUUUCCCAGAAUUUAACACUCAUGCUUUACCAGAGCCAAGAUUUCAUAUACUUAGGUUCUUGGCUGUGACAGUGACCAGGGAUCCCAAGUCUGAGUCACAUUUACCCUAAUAACCAUUUUAUAGCAUGGAAAAAGGGCAGGAAGAUGAUAAUUUCAUUUACUCCCAAGUUAAAUUUUUAUUGUUGAUGUUAGAGCUGCAUGUAGUAACCUCUGAGUAAAGGCUAUCUGAGCCCAAUUCUGAUUUCACAUACCUUAAUUUUGUAUUUGUGAAAUUGCAGCUAUUUCACUGAUAUUUUUGCUUGUAAUCAAGAGUUGAAUCUGUCUCCUCCUGUCUGUGCGAUAAUCCCUCUUUUUCUCCUCCCACAACAACAGGCAGCAGGAGACUCAGAGAUCUCUAAGACACUUUUUUUCCUUUCCUGAGGCACCAAUCCUUCUCUUGCAGCUUCUUGAGUAAUCUCUGUGUUUUUUUCAGUAUGAAGCAUUAAUUCAUUUUAAAUAGCAAGAAUUAGGGAAGCUGGAUCUUAGUCCCUCUCCACAGUUGCCAGAUUUAACCAUCACAUUAGCUGUCUGAUGCUUUUAUAAGCACAGCUCUACUGUCGCUGUAUACCUAGUGCGUAGCUCUGACUUCUUGGUUUACUUUGUCCACAGGGUGACCUGCAGCAAGUAGUUUUAAGCACAUUGAAAUAAUUUCUGUGUGGACACUUUCAUGGCGUACUUUUGAGCAACUUAUGCAGGUAGACAACAUUUCAUAGUAUUAUCUGAAGAUCAACAUUACUGGAAUGCAAUUUCCAAGCUUUAUAAAUUGUGUUUCAGUUUUUAAUAUCUGUGAUUCUUCAACAUCUUAAGAACAGCAGGGCAUCAUGAAAUUUAUAGAAAAAAAAAAAGAGGCAUAUGCUGAGGAAAACAGUUGAAUAUGCAAAUCAGAUGACAUCCACAGUUUUAAGGAAUAUAAUACUUCUGAGUGUAAUUGUUAGGAUUAUCUGUGACCUUAACAGGAACUUGUACAGUUAUAAAAUAGAUGUCAUUAUUUUCUGAGCACAGGGUACAAAAGAAUCACAUUUGUAGUUCAUGGAUCUGUAUUUUUUUGAGGUAGCUUAACAGAACGGUGGGAUUCAUUAUACAUAAUCCAAACCCACUGGAGCUUCAGAUUAUGCUGUUCCAACUUGCUGUCUGAGUUUUCUUAAGGGGAUUUCUAGUUGAUUAAAGCUUGAUAAAAACAAACAUCAGAAAGGGAGAAGUUUGUUUUUACUCUCUUCUGGAUCGCGGUAGUUGUAAAAAAAAAUAGGUAUGAAAGCAGCAAUCCUCUUUUGCAGGCUUAGCUGAUGCAAAAAACUAACGAUAAAUUCUGCAGGACAUACUUGGGCAAAACGCCCAUUUGUUUUAUUGAGAAUUUUGCCUGAUUAAGACCUGUUUUCCCCUUAUCUCUGAGUUUCUUGGACAAACUGUGUUGACUCUGAUCCAGUAAAGCAGAGCAAGCUUCUUAAUCUGGCACAUUAAAUAAAAGCUCAGCUGGGAAAGGAAUACAGUAUUUAGUCUUUGCAUUUCAAUUGAUUUGAAAAUUCUCAUUGUAAGCUUAGGCUGUGAGAAUCACCUGCAAGCAAUGUAACAUCAUUUACAAAGUCAGGUGAUAGAUGCUUGGAUUGAAUACAAGUGUAUGAUGGGACACCUCCUUCCUUUUAAUAAACACAAAAAUAAAUAAA